CAGCAGCCGCGGUAAUACGGAGGGUGCAAGCGUUAAUCGGAGUUACUGGGCGUAAAGCGCACGCAGGCGGUCUGUCAAGUCAGAUGUGAAAUCCCCGGGCUUAACCUGGGAACUGCAUUUGAAACUGGCAGGCUAGAGUCUUGUAGAGGGGGGUAGAAUUCCAGGUGUAGCGGUGAAAUGCGUAGGGAUCUGGAGGAAUACCGGUGGCGAAGGCGGCCCCCUGGACAAAGACUGACGCUGAGGCGCGAAAGCGUGGGGAGCAAACAGGAUUAGAUACCCCUGUAGUCCCUGUCUCUUAUAA
rnacentral:rRNA from 1 species